GGGGCGAAGUCUCGGGGCUGGAGAGGAGAGGUCCGCAGUAGUGGGAGGCAUAGUUUUUGGCAAUAGCCAGCCAAGGAUACAGGGAACAGGUGCGGCGCCUGCACGCUGACUUCACGUGGUGGAUGUCUGGCUGAGAGAGAAGUAGGAAAUCCUCACAACGCUUCUUCCAGCUUUGAUCUGCCUGGGGCAGCCCGUGGUGGAAGAUGACUCUGUAGCCCUGGUGUCUACCAGUAUCCGGAGUGGGAGCCCCAAGAGCCAUGUAGACAGGCACCCAGCACUGUGCCAGCUAUGUGGGAGUUGGCUGGCUCUGGGGACGAGCUGUUGGCAGUGCAGGUGGCUGGCGACAAGGAUGGAGUGUGAGGCCUCGAGACAGGAUGGCAGGCAGCACAGAAGCCUCCGCACUCAGCAGAGCUGCGGUCCUGGCUGCUCUGAGGGUAAGUAGAAAGUGUCUGGUUUCCUGCGUGUCUGAGGCACACUGGCCUCUUCCUCCAGCCUGGCUGCUGCUUUUCAGGCCCCCAACGCUUGUGGCUUUAAAUCUGAGUAAGUCACAAUCCCUGACUUCUUUCUCUGUAGUUCUGCCAAAAUGAAAAGGUGCCCCCCAAUACAGUUUCCACUCUGCAACUCUACUCAAACCCAGAGCCGACCCUGAGGAACCUGCUUGGUCCCAGACUUCCCUCCCACCCUGUGGGAACAGUAUUUUCUGCAAACCCAACCUUGUGGGCUAAGGCUUUUGACUCCUCUAGCUUCUCACAGACUGGGAGGCAGUGCCUUCCUCGGGGCUGGGGUGGGAGGUACAACAGUCGGCCAGCUCAGGAAGUUCUUCUAGGGUUCGCCUCUGUGGCUGAAGCAAGACUGGGAGUGGGAGAAAAAAGCAGAGACUGCACUGGGCUCUGGCUCCAGAGGCCCCCAGGUGCUCUGAGAGCCGGUCUCCUUUGGGACCAGGACCAGGAGGGUAAAUUGAGUCCACAGUUCCCGCCUCAGGAAUCCUUCUGUAAGACCUCUGACAUCACAGACAAAGGAAGCCCAACUGCCAAACGCAGACUUUGCCUUGGGCAACUAAAUUUAUUAGCAAGAAACUUUUUGUCAGCCCAGUACUGACCAACAAAAUACAUCGUUAAUAAAGGAUAACAAAUCUUCACUUAAUUAAUAAAACAUCCUCAAGCAGUUACAAC
rnacentral:lncRNA from 1 species